UACGUAGGGGGCAAGCGUUGUCCGGAAUCAUUGGGCGUAAAGGGCUCGUAGGUGGCCAACUAAGUCACACGUGAAAUCCCUCGGCUUAACCGGGGAACUGCGUGUGAUACUGGAUGGCUUGAGUUUGGGAGAGGGAUGCGGAAUUCCAGGUGUAGCGGUGAAAUGCGUAGAUAUCUGGAGGAACACCGGUGGCGAAGGCGGCAUCCUGGACCAAUACUGACGCUGAGGAGCGAAAGCCAGGGGAGCAAACGGG
rnacentral:rRNA from 1 species